UUGCGGUGGCUCAUGGCAGGCGGGAAACGCCCGGCUCCUUUCCGAACCCGGAAGCUAAGCCGCCUUUGCGCUGAUGGUACUGCGACCGGGGGGUCGUGGGAGAGUAAGACACUGCCGCAA
rnacentral:rRNA from 1 species